AGAGUUUGAUUAUGGCUCAGGACGAACGCUGGCGGCGUGCUUAACACAUGCAAGUCGAACGAUGAAAGAGAAUCCGAUCUCUUCGGAGUGAAGAAUCUCUGGAUUAGUGGCGGACGGGUGAGUAACGCGUGAGCAAUCUGCCUUACACAAAGGGAUAGCCUCGGGAAACCGGGAUUAAUACCAUAUGAUAUCUAUUCACCGCAUGGUAGAUAGAUUAAAGAAUUUCGGUGUAAGAUGAGCUCGCGUCCCAUUAAUUAGUUGGUGAGGGUAACGGCCCACCAAGAUAGCGAUGGGUAGCCGAUCUAAGAGGAUGACCGGCCACAUUGGAACUGAGAAACGGUCCAAACUCCUACGGGAGGCAGCAGUGGGGAAUAUUGCACAAUGGGGGGAACCCUGAUGCAGCGACGCCGCGUGAGCGAUGAAGGUUUUCGAGUCGUAAAGCUCUGUCCUAUGGGAAGAUAAUGACGGUACCAUAGAAGAAAGCCCCGGCUAAUUACGUGCCAGCAGCCGCGGUAAUACGUAAGGGGCGAGCGUUGUCCGGAAUUAUUGGGCGUAAAGAGUGCGUAGGCGGCAAAUUAAGUCAGAUGUGAAAACUAAGGGCUCAACCCAUAGAUUGCAUCUGAAACUGAUAUGCUUGAGUCAAGGAGAGGA
rnacentral:rRNA from 1 species